GAUGAACGCUGGCGGCGUGCCUAAUACAUGCAAGUCGAGCGAACAGACGAGGAGCUUGCUCCUCUGACGUUAGCGGCGGACGGGUGAGUAACACGUGGAUAACCUACCUAUAAGACUGGGAUAACUUCGGGAAACCGGAGCUAAUACCGGAUAAUAUAUUGAACCGCAUGGUUCAAUAGUGAAAGACGGUUUUGCUUUCACUUUUAGAUGGAUCCGCGCCGCAUUAGCUAGUUGGUAAGGUAACGGCUUACCAAGGCGACGAUGCGUAGCCGACCUGAGAGGAUGAUCGGCCACACUGGAACUGAGACACGGUCCAGACUCCUACGGGAGGCAGCAGUAGGGAAUCUUCCGCAAAGGGCGAAAGCCUGACGGAGCAACGCCGCGUGAGUGAUGAAGGUCUUCGGAUCGUAAAACUCUGUUAUUAGGGAAGAACAAAUGUGUAAGUAACUAUGCACGUCUUGACGGUACCUAAUCAGAAAGCCACGGCUAACUACGUG
rnacentral:rRNA from 1 species